ensembl:snRNA U6 U6 spliceosomal RNA
GUGCUCACUUCAGCAGCACAGUAACUAAAAUUAAAACAAUACGGAGUAAAUUAGCAUUGCCUGUUGCAUAAGGAUAAGUUGCAAAUUUGUGAAGCAGUCUAUUUCUAG